rnacentral:rRNA from 1 species
UGACGGUACCUGCAGAAGAAGCCCCGGCUAACUCCGUGCCAGCAGCCGCGGUAAUACGGAGGGAGCUAGCGUUGUUCGGAAAUACUGGGCGUAAAGCGAACGUAGGCGGCUUAGCAAGUCAGGGGUGAAAUCCCGGAGCUCAACUCCGGAACUGCCUUUGAAACUGCUUCGCUUGAAUCCUGGAGAGGCGAGUGGAAUUCCGAGUGUAGAGGUGAAAUUCGUAGAUAUUCGGAAGAACACCAGUGGCGAAGGCGACUCGCUGGACAAGUAUUGACGCUGAGGUGCG